UUUCACUUUCUUUCAGCAUGCAGCAGCCACACAUGUGUACAUACAUAUCUUUAGCGGCAUCUCUAUCUAACACACUUGUGUGUGCAUGUGUGCGUGUAUAUUUUAAUUCGAUCAAAUUAACAAUGUGACGAGCAUGGCUGGAAAAAGUGAAAUGGCGCACAUUUUGAGUGCUACAAGGGUAACCUCAAGGGUUUUCAAAGUCAGCCCAUGAGCAGAUUCACUUUCGUUUUCUUUAUUGUUACAAAAUAUCAGCAGCUCUCUAUAGACAAUCUACUCACACACACGCACACCGACGUACUUGUGUACAUAUUUAGUGUUUUAAUUUGCAUAGUUGUUGGCAAAAAAAAAAAAAAACAAAAAAUGCGCUCAGAAACUUGUUUGUUGUUUUUUGUAUGGUAACACGCGCGACAAAAUGCUCUUCAGCUGCUAGACCUCGACGGAGUUCCGGCUGGUAAAGGCCGAGAUAAAUUAGCAUGACAUGAAUCAGCAGCAGAGGCAAAAUACUGCUUUCAAUUAAACAUAAAAUGGUACCUAAGAGAUAACAGCGACAAAACAAGAACAACAACAACGAGCGCACGACUGUCAGACACUCUCUGUGGAUUGCUUGAUACGUGUGCAAACUCUUAUAACUUGCGAUAUAUGUUUACAUAAUGGAGAUAAAUAUCGAUGUGCAAAGGGAAUACGGCGAUCGAUGAUUUUGGGGCAAAGGACAAAAGCUACCGAUGAUUUGUCAUGAGCGUGCAAUAUUGCAUUGCCUGCGACAAUAAUCUGACUGAAAAGCCCGCAGGUUUUCAAAAGAUUCAAUUUUAAUUUUUAUUCGUAUACCGACUUGUUGUGCGAUGCAAAAGACGAUGAAGAAGCUGAGACUGACGCUGAGGCUCCACAGCGACGUCAGCAGCGACGCCGGCAGUGACGCCCGCUUUGGCUUGACAGG